GUGUGUAAGAGCGUACGGUGGAUGCCUUGGCACCAGGAGCCGAUGAAGGACGUAGUAGGCUGCGAUAAGCCUCGGGGAGCUGUCAAACGAGCUGGGAUCCGAGGAUUUCCGAAUGGGGAAACCCGGCACGAGUGAUGUCGUGUCACCCGCACCUGAAUAUAUAGGGUGUGUGGAGGGAACGUGGGGAAGUGAAACAUCUCAGUACCCACAGGAAGAGAAAACAACAUGUGAUUCCGUGAGUAGUGGCGAGCGAAAGCGGAAGAGGCUAAACCGGUUAUGUGUGAUAGACGGCAGUCGUUGCGUAGCCGGGGUCGUGGGACCCAUCUUCUCAGUUCUGCCGAGCUGGGCAUGAGUUAGAAACCAAGUUGUUAGUCGAAUUGGUCUGGGACGGCCAACCGUAGACGGUGAGAGUCCGGUAGACGAAAACAUCCUGGCUCAUGUGAUGGGCACCCGAGUAGCAGCGGGCCCGUGAAAUCUGCUGUGAAUCUGUCGGGACCACCCGAUAAGCCUGAAUACUACCUGGUGACCGAUAGCGGACUAGUACCGUGAGGGAAAGGUGAAAAGUACCCCGGGAGGGGAGUGAAAUAGUACCUGAAACCGUGCGCUUACAAUCCGUCAGAGCUGUAAUAGGUGAUGGCGUGCCUUUUGAAGAAUGAGCCUGCGAGUC
rnacentral:rRNA from 1 species